rnacentral:rRNA from 1 species
UAGGGAAUCUUCCACAAUGGGCGAAAGCCUGAUGGAGCAACGCCGCGUGUGUGAUGAAGGCUUUAGGGUCGUAAAGCACUGUUGUAUGGGAAGAAAUGCUAGAAUAGGGGAUGAUUCUAGUUCGACGGUACCAUACCAGAAAGGGACGGCUAAAUACGUGCCAGCAGCCGCGGUAAUACGUAUGUCCCGAGCGUUAUCCGGAUUUAUUGGGCGUAAAGCGAGCGCAGACGGUUGAUUAAGUCUGAUGUGAAAGCCCGGAGCUCAACUCCGGAAUGGCAUUGGAAACUGGUUAACUUGAGUGUUGUAGAGGUAAGUGGAACUCCAUGUGUAGCGGUGGAAUGCGUAGAUAUAUGGAAGAACACCAGUGGCGAAGGCGGCUUACUGGACAACAACUGACGUUGAAGCUCGAAAGUGUGGGUAGCAAACAGGAUUAGAUACCCUGGUAGUCCACACCGUAAACGAUGAAUACUANGUGUUAGGAGGNUUCCNNCUCUUANUGNCGAAGCUAACGCAUUAANUAUUCCGCCUGGGGAGUACNACCGCAAGGNU